GAAUUCGCCCUUAGAGUUUGCUUCUGGCUCAGGACGAACGCUGGCGGCGCGCCUAACACAUGCAAGUCGAACGAGCGAGAGAGAGCUUGCUUUCUCGAGCGAGUGGCGAACGGGUGAGUAACGCGUGAGGAACCUGCCUCAAAGAGGGGGACAACAGUUGGAAACGACUGCUAAUACCGCAUAAGCCCACGGCUCGGCAUCGAGCAGAGGGAAAAGGAGCAAUCCGCUUUGAGAUGGCCUCGCGUCCGAUUAGCUAGUUGGUGAGGUAACGGCCCACCAAGGCAACGAUCGGUAGCCGGACUGAGAGGUUGAACGGCCACAUUGGGACUGAGACACGGCCCAGACUCCUACGGGAGGCAGCAGUGGGGAAUAUUGCACAAUGGGGGAAACCCUGAUGCAGCGACGCCGCGUGGAGGAAGAAGGUCUUCGGAUUGUAAACUCCUGUUGUUGGGGAAGAUAAUGACGGUACCCAACAAGGAAGUGACGGCUAACUACGUGCCAGCAGCCGCGGUAAAACGUAGGUCACAAGCGUUGUCCGGAAUUACUGGGUGUAAAGGGAGCGCAGGCGGGAAGACAAGUUGGAAGUGAAAUCUAUGGGCUCAACCCAUAAACUGCUUUCAAAACUGUUUUUCUUGAGUAGUGCAGAGGUAGGCGGAAUUCCCGGUGUAGCGGUGGAAUGCGUAGAUAUCGGGAGGAACACCAGUGGCGAAGGCGGCCUACUGGGCACCAACUGACGCUGAGGCUCGAAAGUGUGGGUAGCAAACAGGAUUAGAUACCCUGGUAGUCCACACCGUAAACGAUGAUUACUAGGUGUUGGAGGAUUGACCCCUUCAGUGCCGCAGUUAACACAAUAAGUAAUCCACCUGGGGAGUACGACCGCAAGGUUGAAACUCAAAGGAAUUGACGGGGGCCCGCACAAGCAGUGGAGUAUGUGGUUUAAUUCGACGCAACGCGAAGAACCUUACCAAGUCUUGACAUCCCUUGACAGGCAUAGAAAUAUGUUUUCUCUUCGGAGCAAGGAGACAGGUGGUGCAUGGUUGUCGUCAGCUCGUGUCGUGAGAUGUUGGGUUAAGUCCCGCAACGAGCGCAACCCUUAUGGUCAGUUACUACGCAAGAGGACUCUGGCCAGACUGCCGUUGACAAAACGGAGGAAGGUGGGGAUGACGUCAAAUCAUCAUGCCCUUUAUGACUUGGGCUACACACGUACUACAAUGGCGUUAAACAAAGAGAAGCAAGACCGCGAGGUGGAGCAAAACUCAGAAACAACGUCCCAGUUCGGACUGCAGGCUGCAACUCGCCUGCACGAAGUCGGAAUUGCUAGUAAUCGUGGAUCAGCAUGCCACGGUGAAUACGUUCCCGGGCCUUGCACACACCGCCCGUCA
rnacentral:rRNA from 1 species